rnacentral:lncRNA from 1 species
UGUAUGGAGGAGCCCAAGGGCAGCGGGACCUAGGGCUGGCCUCAGGAAGUGUCUGGAACCCCAAAGCGCUGCCCAUGGAAGUUAUUCCUCUCCUGAAGACCAGCUCACCCUGCUGCCCAGGCCACAAAGCAAGGCGGAGAGAUGAAGGCAGCGAGAGGAACUGAGCAGAGAUGGACUGGGCCUGGGUCCCACAGGGAGGCAGCGUCACUCCUCCCGCCCUUCUAAAGAGUCCCUAACUGCUGCCUUCAGGGGUUGAGAGGUGGCUGGAGACUCCUGUCCUCCCGAUGCCAGCACUGGAGCCCUUGAUGCUUGGAGCUGCCCCAGCUCCUGCUCCCUGAGGACACAGUUCUCAGCCUGAAGGUCCACAGAGCAGCUCCACAGGAC